AGAGUGAACGCUGGCGGUAGGCCUAACACAUGCAAGUCGAACGGCAGCACAGUAGGAGCUUGCUCUUACGGGUGGCGAGUGGCGGACGGGUGAGGAAUACAUCGGAAUCUACCUUUUGGUGGGGGAUAACGUAGGGAAACUUACGCUAAUACCGCAUACGCCCUUCGGGGGAAAGCCGGGGACCAGCAAUGGCCUGGCGCUGAUAGAUGAGCCGAUGUCGGAUUAGCUAGUUGGUGAGGUAAUGGCUCACCAAGGCGACGAUCCGUAGCUGGUCUGAGAGGAUGAUCAGCCACACUGGAACUGAGACACGGUCCAGACUCCUACGGGAGGCAGCAGUGGGGAAUAUUGGACAAGUGGGCGCAAGCCUGAUCCAGCCAUACCGCGUGGUGAAGAAGGCCUUCGGUUGUAAAGCCCGUUUUGUUGGAAAGAAAAGCUAAUUCGGUUAAUACCCGGUGUUCGUGACGGUACCAAAGAAUAAGCACGGCUAACUCGUGCCAGCAGCCGCGUAA
rnacentral:rRNA from 1 species